UUUUAUUGGGCCUAAAGCGUCCGUAGCCGGUUUAAUAAGUCUCUGGUGAAAUUCUGUAGCUUAACUGUGGGAAUUGCUGGAGAUACUAUUAGACUUGAGACCGGGAGAGGUUGGAGGUACUCCCAGGGUAGAGGUGAAAUUCUGUAAUCCUGGGAGGACCGCCUGUUGCGAAGGCGUCUAACUGGAACGGUUCUGACGGUGAGGGACGAAAGUUAGGGGCGCGAACCGGAUUAGAUACCCGGGUAGUCCUAACUGUAAACGAUGCGGACUUGGUGUUGGGGUGGCUUUGA
rnacentral:rRNA from 1 species